GGCCGCGGGAAUUCGAUUCAGGCCUAACACAUGCAAGUCGAACGCCCCGCAAGGGGAGUGGCAGACGGGUGAGUAACGCGUGGGAAUCUACCCAGUUCUACGGAACAACAGUUGGAAACGACUGCUAAUACCGUAUACGCCCUAAGGGGGAAAGAUUUAUCGGAAUUGGAUGAGCCCGCGUUGGAUUAGCUAGUUGGUGAGGUAAUGGCUCACCAAGGCGACGAUCCAUAGCUGGUCUGAGAGGAUGAUCAGCCACACUGGGACUGAGACACGGCCCAGACUCCUACGGGAGGCAGCAGUGGGGAAUAUUGGAAAGUGGGCGCAAGCCUGAUCCAGCCAUGCCGCGUGAUUAAAGGAGGCCUUAGGGUUGUAAAGCUCUUUCAGUAGGGAAGAUA
rnacentral:rRNA from 1 species